AUGUCUGACACCAACACAGGAAGUAAACAUCUCAAUGCAUUCCAGCCCUACCCUCACCCCAAGCCACAGCAAGUGGCUGGCACUCACCAGAAGGCAGAAGAACCACAAUGGAUAGACCAUCUUGUGACCCUGGCCGCCUUGAUCUCUCCUGGGGGCAGGGAAGUGAGCCAUCAGAUCAGAGUUAUGUUCUAUGUUGCACACUUUGGAGCCUCAACGUCCUCCUCUGAACAAUGGGAAACAUCAUGGAGUAUCCUGAGUAUUGGAUGGACCAGCGUCUGGCAUAAAAUAAGAACAAUACACCACUUGGGGGAAAUAGAGAAAUACUACUCUGCUCAAGACUUGAAGAGCGACUUAUAAACACACCAAUACCUAAGGUCUCCACCUAGUCUACCACGUGUCUGAAGUGAACCAGGUAACUCCCUCCUACGAAUCAUUCUUGAACACAUGCUAUGUAUCCAGCCUUCGUCUGGGCUCUGAGUAGAUUACUCACCUGAUGAAUUUGUUGUUGUUUAAUAGUACAAAAUUUUCAUAAUGAACUGGUGGGGCAAAAGAAAAGGCCUGUGCAUAUUUUGUCUAGCUAUCCCUGUGUGCAUUUCUUGUUAUUAAAGGAUUACUUCUUCAAUGG
rnacentral:lncRNA from 1 species